GUGUAGAGGUGGCAGGGUAGCCUAGUGGUUAGAGUGUAGAGGUGGCAGGGUAGCCUAGUGGUUAGAGUGUAGAGGAGGUAGGGUAGACUAGUGGUUAGAGUGUAGAGGAGGCAGGGUAGCCUAGUGGUUAGAGUGUAGAGGAGGUAGGGUAGCCUAGUGGUUAGAGUGUAGAGGUGGCAGGGUAGCCUAGUGGUUAGAGUGUAGAGGUGGCAGGGUAGCCUAGUGGUUAGAGUGUAGAGGUGGCAGGGUAGCCUAGUGGUUAGAGUGUAGAGGAGGUAGGGUAGCCUAGUGGUUAGAGUGUAGAGGCGGUAGGGUAGCCUAGUGGUUAGAGUGUAGAGGAGGUAGGGUAGCCUAGUGGUUAGAGUGUAGGGGUGGCAGGGUAGCCUAGUGGUUAGAGUGUAGAGGUGGCAGGGUAGCCUAGUGGUUAGAGUGUAGAGGUGGUAGGGUAGCCUAGUGGUUAGAGUGUAGAGGCGGCAGGGUAGCCUAGUGGUUAGAGUGUAGAGGUGGCAGGGUAGCCUAGUGGUUAGAGUGUAGAGGUGGUAGGGUAGCCUAGUGGUUAGAGUGUAGAGGUGGCAGGGUAGCCUAGUGGUUAGAGUGUAGAGGUGGUAGGGUAGCCUAGUGGUUAGAGUGUAGAGGUGGCAGGGUAGCCUAGUGGUUAGAGUGUAGAGGUGGCAGGGUAGCCUAGUGGUUAGAGUGUAGAGGUGGCAGGGUAGCCUAGUGGUUAGAGUGUAGAGGUGGCAGGGUAGCCUAGUGGUUAGAGUGUAGAGGUGGCAGGGUAGCCUAGUGGUUAGAGUGUAGAGGUGGCAGGGUAGCCUAGUGGUUAGAGUGUAGAGGGGGCAGGGUAGCCUAGUGGUUAGAGUGUAGAGGCGGCAGGGUAGCCUAGUGGUUAGAGUGGAGGGGCGGCAGGGUCGCCUAGUGGUUAGAGUGUAGAGGUGCCAGGGUAUCCUAGUGGUUAGAGUGGAGGGGCGGCAGGGUAGCCUAGUGGUUAGAGUGGAGGGGCGGCAGGGUAGCCUAGUGGUUAGAGUGGAGGGGCGGCAGGGUAGCCUAGUGGUUAGAGUGGAGGGUUGGCAGGCUAGCCUAGUGGUUAGAGCGUUGGACUAGUAACUGGAAGGUUGCAAGUUCAAACCCAUGAGCUGACAAGGUACAAAUCUGUCGUUCUGCCCCUGAACAGA